rnacentral:ncRNA from 1 species
ACCGAUUGACAAGAGGUGAAAUUUUAAGACGAUGAAUAAUUUUCAUUGGAAUGGAUUUAAACCUCCUUAUUUAGAGGAAGGAGAAGUCGUAACAAGGUUUUCGUAGGUGAACCUGCGUAAGGAUCAUUC